UUCGCAGGCGGUUUAAUAAGUCAGUGGUGAAAUCCCGUAGCUCAACUACGGAACUGCCAUUGAUACUGUUAGACUUGAAUACAGUUGGAGUAGGCGGAAUGUGUAGUGUAGCGGUGAAAUGCUUAGAUAUUACACAGAACACCGAUAGCGAAGGCAGCUUACUAAACUGUGAUUGACGCUCAUGAACGAAAGCGUGGGGAGCGAACAGGAUUAGAUACCCUGGUAGUCC
rnacentral:rRNA from 1 species